rfam:Sphingopyxis sp. Root1497 contig_5, whole genome shotgun sequence.
ACGGGCAAACGCGGACGCCCGUCCAGGCGCUCGCCGCCCAAGUUCCGC